UGGAGGCAGCAGUGGGGAAUAUUGGUCAAUGGGGGCAACCCUUGACCAGCCAUGCCGCGUGAAGGAUGAAGGCCCUACGGGUUGUAAACUUCUUUUAUUUGGGAAGAACUGUAGGUACGUGUACUUACUUGACGGUACCAAAGGAAUAAGCAUCGGCUAACUCCGUGCCAGCAGCCGCGGUAAUACGGAGGAUGCAAGCGUUAUCCGGAUUUAUUGGGUUUAAAGGGUGCGUAGGUGGGAUUGUAAGUCAGUGGUGAAAGCCUGUCGCUUAACGAUAGAAAUGCCAUUGAUACUACAAUUCUUGAGUACAAUUGAGGUAGGCGGAAUGUGCAGUGUAGCGGUGAAAUGCUUAGAUAUUGCACAGAACACCAAUUGCGAAGGCAGCUUACUAAACUGUAACUGACACUGAGGCACGAAAGCUAGGGGAGCAAACAGGAUUAGAUACCCCGGUAGUCCC
rnacentral:rRNA from 1 species